UGGGGAAUCUUGGACAAUGGGCGAAAGCCUGAUCCAGCCAUGCCGCGUGUGUGAGGAAGGUCUUCGGAUUGUAAAGCACUUUAAGUUGGGAGGAAGGGCAGUUACCUAAUACGUGAUUGUUUUGACGUUACCGACAGAAUAAGCACCGGCUAACUCUGUGCCAGCAGCCGCGGUAAUACAGAGGGUGCAGGCGUUAAUCGGAAUUACUGGGCGUAAAGCGCGCGUAGGUGGUUAGUUAAGUUGGAUGUGAAAUCCCCGGGCUCAACCUGGGAACUGCAUUCAAAACUGACUGACUAGAGUAUGGUAGAGGGUGGUGGAAUUUCCUGUGUAGCGGUGAAAUGCGUAGAUAUAGGAAGGAACACCAGUGGCGAAGGCGACCACCUGGACUGAUACUGACACUGAGGUGCGAAAGCGUGGGGAGCAAACAGGAUUAGAUACCCCUGUAGUCCCUGAGCGGGCUGGCAAGGCGCAU
rnacentral:rRNA from 1 species